UAUUUGUCAAAUUCCCGGCCAUUGAUUGUACCAACGAUUAGAUUUAUUAGACUCUUGCAAGUUACACAUCCAUCUCCAACCUCUAAGCUUCGAUUUCCACCAAUUUGGCCCAAUACCUUGUUCCUUGGCAUUGAGCUCAUAGUGGUCAACGGUUGGUUCGACUGUGGCUGGUUGAUGUCGGCAUUGGAUCGGAUGUUGUUCUCUGAGCUAGGAUCUCUGAUCUGGAGAAUGCUCAGCGCUCGGUGGUGGCAAUGGCUGUCCAGGGGAAGCUCGGCCCAGAUCGGGCUAUGGCUAUAAGGGGAGCCAACGCUGAAGUUUAGUGGUUUCCUGACAGCGACGUGCGAAGCUGGCGGCAUGGUGCUGCGGCAAAGGUGGCGACUUUAGAAAGGACAAUGGUGGGAAUGCAUGCAGUUUGAAGAAAGUGGAAUCUCCUUGAGCCAUGGCUAGGGCAUCUUCCUCACUCAUGGGCCAGGACUUGAUAAUUUUGGGUCUGGGCUCGUUGGUGUGAGUCUGGGCUACAAUUUUAGUUUUGUUAGAACUUCUUCUCUUUUUGGGAAGGAAUUGGUAGGCUCCCAAAAAAAUACUUGCCUACUUGUUAGAGUAAGAGAAUUUCACUUAUGUGACCAUUCUUUUAAUGUGCGUUUAGAUGAGAAAAUUAUAAGUUCGUAAGAAUUUAUAAAUGACGGAAUCUUUAACUUUA